rnacentral:rRNA from 1 species
CCCUUAGAUGUUCUGGGCCGCACGCGUGCUACACUGAACGGUUCAAUGGGUAAGGUAGUGCGAAAGCAUGACCUAAUCUCGGAAUCCGUUCGUGCUGGGGAUAGAAGCUUGCAAUUAUCCUUCUUGAACGAGGAAUACCUUGUAAGCGUGAGUCAUCAUCUCACGCUGAAUACGUCCCUGCCCUUUGUACACACCGCCCGUCGCUCCUACCGAUUGAGUGUUCCGGUGAGGCUUUGGGAGAAUGGCCUCAACAUGAGUUUAUCGUGUUUUGCCGUUUGAACUUAGUCAAACCUUAUCACUUAGAGGAAGGAGAAGUCGUAACA